rnacentral:lncRNA from 1 species
ACACCGCCAUUCUCACCCUCUCUCUUCAUCUCUCUCUCUUUCUUACUCUGUCUCGCUGCUCCCCACCGUCCCACCGUCUUGCGCCGCCCGCCGCCACUACUCCCCCACUGCUCCCCCACCAUCUUGCGCCGCCUGUCGUUUAAUCUCUCCCUCUCUGUCUUCAUAUCUCCCUCUCUCUGAUUCUCUCUCGCCAGAUCUGGUGCCGACAGAUCUAGGCGACCCCUCGGCCUCUUGUUGGUGUACAUAUAUCAUCCUCCUUCUCCAGAGCCUCCACCACCGCCCCCGGCGGGGUUCCGUUGUUGCCGCCGUCGAGAUCGCUCCUGCCGUCCUCGUCACGGUUGCUCUUCUGGCCGCUGAUGUUGAGGGUGCCGCUGGUCUCAAUUUGCUCAUCGUUUGAGUUGUGGAUCUGGUGAUGGUGGAAUUACUCAAAUUCAGUCAGGUAAUUUGACGAGCAUCUCUUGAUUUUUUUUUAUUUGUAAUUUUGGGAUUUUGAUUGAAUGAUUGUGUGGUUAUUUCCCAGAUUUUACUGUUUGUUCUGACAUUAGGUGUUGAUGCUUGAUUUGAUGCAAAGUUUGUUGUCUUUGGCUUGCAAUUAAUUACUGUAUAUGUAAUCGGGAUAAGAGUCGAUUGAUGAUAUAAAUUGUUUUCUUAUAUUGUAGUGUUGACUUAAAUUAUAUAUACAUAACCAUAAUUAUACGUAGUAACAUAUAGUAAUAUAUAGUAACAUACGCAUAUAACCGUGUAUUUUCAAUCGAUAUUUGUAAUAAAAAUUGUUAUUUAUAGUUAUAUAAAAGAUUUUGCUUUGUUUUCUUUUUUGUAAUUAAAAUUCUACUCUCCAUAUACAUACCUACAAUUCAUAAUUUAAAUUAUAUGUGUACAUACCUCAUUAAUUUUCACAUUUUAUUAUCUGAGUUUAUUUGUCAUCUCAUUAAUUCAGUUUCAAGAACAUACAACAAAUCAAAUGAUUUUCUGUGAUAGAAUUUCACUACAGUAAGUAAAUAUUUUUUUUUCAACCACAUUGUUCUAUUCAUCACCUUUAUAUAUUUAUAUAUAGAUUCAAUAGUGAACUUUUUUGUGGUGUAGAUGAAUUUUAUUUAUAUACAUAUAUAGUCACAUAUGGUCAGGUACGUGUAGUCAUAUAUAGUCACAUGUAGUAAUAAGAAUGAACCUAACUACAUGU